rnacentral:lncRNA from 1 species
UCUGCCUUCACGCAUCCAGCACAUGAAACAUUUGGAGGGGCUGCCACGUCCAGCAUAUAAAAAAGAAGCACACAAACCUAGGUGGGGGGGAGUAAGAGCAGCCGUCAUGUUACAUAGGAGGCUGCUUUUUGAAUGUUUUUGAUAACAAAUUUAUUGGAAUCAUGAUUAUUCUUCUGGAUUGUGGAUGAAUAUGGAGUGGUCACGGUCUUGAGCAGAAAGCUCAUAUCCUAGAAAAGGGAGAAUUACCAUUUUGCUUUCAUUUAGCCACCACUGUCUUUGCUAGCUGAAUAUUUUCUUUCAUUGAGGUGU